ensembl:rRNA 5S_rRNA 5S ribosomal RNA
UUCUACAGCCAUAGCACCCUAAAUGUACCUGAUCUCGUCCAAUCUCGGAAGCUAAGCAGGGUUGGGCCUACUUAGUACUUGGAUGGGAGAAAAUACAUUGUUAUAUGAU